AUUUAAUAAUAAUAAUAAUAAUAAUAAUAAUAAAAAAAUAAAUAAAUAAAUAAAUAAAGAAAUAACACGGAACCGCACCGCCAUUGUUUGUCUCACGUUUCCAUUUCCUCUUCACUUUCUAUUUCUCAGUUCCAACACUUCACCUUCAUUUCAAGUUCAAUUUUUCCACUUCUUUCAUUCAAAAAUCACCAAUUUCUCCCAUAAACCAUACACUCUAGAAGAAAAUUUUACAUAUAAGCAAAGCAAUCUCAGCCCUUCAAGUAAUUUUGGAUAUGAUUUUGGGGUUGGGGUUAGUGCUCAAAGGAAGAAGAAGAGAACCCAUCUCUUGAAAGUUGUUCAUGGAUACUCCUUGAGAUUCAGUGGAAAUUGCUUCGGUGAUCAUUCCGGAAGGCAUUGCUAGGAACGAAGUUGAUUCGUCAUAGUUAUUCAAAGUCAGCUGAGUAGGGGUUUCUAGCAGAUAUUGAGAGUCGUCAGUAUCAUUCUUUUGAUUCAGUGGAAAUUGCUUCGGUGAUCAUUCCGGAAGGCAUUGCUAGGAACGAAGUUGAUUCGUCAUAGUUAUUCAAAGUCAGCUGAGUAGGGGUUUCUAGCAGAUAUUGAGAGUCGUCGGUAUCAUUCUUUUGGUAGGCUUCCUUGAUGAAAUGUUACUUUGUAUAUGUAUAUUUUGAGUUGAUCAAAUAUAUGCAGCUAUCUUGAGUCUAGGAAUCUUUUGUGUUGAAAUGUAUAAAUUUAAACAUGUAUAUUUUGAAACUUCUGACUUAAUGAUGUAUAUGUUGCAAACAGGAUUUAUU